ACUCCUACGGGAGGCAGCAGUGGGGAAUAUUGGACAAUGGGCGGAAGCCUGAUCCAGCCAUGCCGCGUGUGUGAAGAAGGCCUUUUGGUUGUAAAGCACUUUAAGCGAGGAGGAGGCUCCUUUAGUUAAUACCUAAAGAGAGUGGACGUUACUCGCAGAAUAAGCACCGGCUAACUCUGUGCCAGCAGCCGCGGUAAUACAGAGGGUGCGAGCGUUAAUCGGAUUUACUGGGCGUAAAGCGUGCGUAGGCGGCUUUUUAAGUCGGAUGUGAAAUCCCUGAGCUUAACUUAGGAAUUGCAUUCGAUACUGGGGAGCUAGAGUAUGGGAGAGGAUGGUAGAAUUCCAGGUGUAGCGGUGAAAUGCGUAGAGAUCUGGAGGAAUACCGAUGGCGAAGGCAGCCAUCUGGCCUAAUACUGACGCUGAGGUACGAAAGCAUGGGGAGCAAACAGGAUUAGAUACCCUGGUAGGCUCU
rnacentral:rRNA from 1 species